rnacentral:lncRNA from 1 species
GUCAUAGAAAACAAAAGUUAAAUUAUGGAAAUUCACAGCUCAUUUUUCCAUUUUGCAGAUGAGACUCAGGAUUUGGAAAGCAAAACAAACAACCGAACAAACAAAUGAAAAGAGUAGAUUUUGGACCUCCACGAAUGAUUUCAAAGUGAACAAUAAGAAGAUCUCUGCCUGCAUAAGACUCAUUUUGAAAGUGACACUAAAGAGCCCAUCCAAGAAGAUAAUAACGGGAGAAGAAACCGGCCUGGUAAACAUAAGCGGCCGGGGACAUCAGCAGAAGACAAGAGGGGAAGGGGAGAGGAAGCUGAUCCUCUCA